CAGUUCUUCCGUCGGCCAUUUUAGGUGGUCCGCGGCGGCGCCAUUAAAGCGAGGAGGAGGCAAGAGCGGCCGCCGCUGCUUCUUAUUCUUUUUUAGUACAGCCGGAGAGAGUGGGAGUGGGCGCCGCGCGAGAGUGGGAGGCGAGGGGGGCAGGCCAGGGAGAGGCGCAGGAGUCUUUGCAGCCACACGCGCCCCUUUUCUGUCUUGUGUGCUUCGCGAGGUAGAGCGGGCGCGCGGCAGCGGCGGGGAUUACUUUGCUGCUAGUUUCGGUUCGCGGCAGCGGCGGGCGUAGUCUCAGCGGCGGCGGAGGUAGUAGCAGUAUGUCGGAGGAGCAGUUCGGCGGGGACGGGGCGGCGGCGGCGGCGGCAACGGCGGCGGUAGGCGGCUCGGCAGGCGAGCAGGAGGGAGCCAUGGUGGCGGCGGCGCAGGGGGCAGCGACGGCGGCGGGAAGCGGAGCCGGGACCGGGGGCGGAACCGCGGCCGGAGGCACCGAAGGGGUCAGCGCCGAGUCAGAGGGGGCGAAGAUCGACGCCAGUAAGAAUGAGGAGGAUGAAGGCCAUUCAAACUCCUCCCCACGACACACUGAAGCAGCGACGGCACAGCGGGAAGAAUGGAAAAUGUUUAUAGGAGGCCUUAGCUGGGACACUACAAAGAAAGAUCUGAAGGACUACUUUUCCAAAUUUGGUGAAGUUGUAGACUGCACUCUGAAGUUAGAUCCUAUCACAGGGCGAUCCAGGGGUUUUGGCUUUGUGCUAUUUAAAGAGUCGGAGAGUGUAGAUAAGGUCAUGGAUCAGAAAGAACAUAAAUUGAAUGGGAAGGUGAUUGAUCCUAAGAGGGCCAAAGCCAUGAAAACAAAAGAGCCGGUUAAAAAAAUUUUUGUUGGUGGCCUUUCUCCAGACACACCUGAAGAGAAAAUAAGGGAGUACUUUGGUGGUUUUGGUGAGGUGGAAUCCAUAGAGCUCCCCAUGGACAACAAGACCAAUAAGAGGCGUGGAUUCUGUUUUAUUACGUUUAAGGAAGAAGAACCAGUGAAGAAGAUAAUGGAGAAGAAAUACCACAAUGUUGGUCUUAGUAAAUGUGAAAUAAAAGUAGCCAUGUCGAAGGAACAGUAUCAGCAACAGCAGCAGUGGGGAUCUAGAGGAGGAUUUGCUGGAAGAGCUCGUGGAAGAGGUGGUGGCCCCAGUCAAAACUGGAACCAGGGAUAUAGUAACUAUUGGAAUCAAGGCUAUGGCAACUAUGGAUAUAACAGCCAAGGUUACGGUGGUUAUGGAGGAUAUGACUACACUGGUUACAACAACUACUAUGGAUAUGGUGAUUAUAGCAAUCAGCAGAGUGGUUAUGGGAAAGUAUCCAGGCGAGGUGGUCAUCAAAAUAGCUACAAACCAUACUAAAUUAUUCCAUUUGCAACUUAUCCCCAACAGCGGGAACUUCAUUGCAGGCCCUGUGUCGCGCUGACUUCACGAUUCUCACAGGCCCGCUCAAUGCGGACAGGGUACGAGAUGCUCACGCUCUCGAAUGCUGCCGUUUGGUGGUGAAGCAGUAUUUUCCAAUUUGAAGAUUCAUUUGAAGGUGGCUCCUGCCACCUGCUAAUAGCAGUUCAAACUAAAUUUUUUGUAUCAAGUCCCUGAAUGGAAGUAUGACGUUGGGUCCCUCUGAAGUUUAAUUCUGAGUUCUCAUUAAAAGAAAUUUGCUUUCAUUGUUUUAUUUCUUAAUUGCUAUGCUUCAGAAUCAAUUUGUGUUUUAUGCCCUUUCUCCCCAGUAUUGUAGAGCAAGUCUUGUGUUAAAAGCCCAGUGUGACAGUGUCAUGAUGUAGUAGUGUCUUACUGGUUUUUUAAUAAAUCCUUUUGUAUAAAAAUGCAUUGGCUCUUUUAUCAUCAGAAUAGGAAAAAUGGAGGAGUAUUAGAAAUUGUCAUGGAUUCGUUAUUAUAGGCAUAAAUUUUGAAAAUAGUAAAUAAAGCUUGUAGAAAUUGAGGACAUGGUUAAAGUUACAGUGAAAUUUUAAAUGUUUCUAGCAAAAUCUAAUUUUUUUUGCCACGAUGUGUCCUUCCUGUCCAAAUUGGAAAUGACUUUGUAGUCAAUUUGUUUGUUGGUUGUUUUAAUACUACUUCCUAUGUAGCCUUUAAGAUUUAUAUGAAUACUUUCCCGAAUGCCCAGAUUUUGCUUAAAAUGUAUUGUGCUUUUUAGAACAAACCUGGAUAAAUGUGCAAGAACCCCUUUGCACAGAUAUUUACUGUUUAUGCUUCCAUUAAAUAAAAAAUAAGUACUUAAGAAAAAAAUCUGUUAAUUAUAAUAGAAAUGCAGCUAGUUCAGAGAUUUUUAGAACUAUGGUGGACUUAUAUUUCAUAGAUAUUCAAGUGUAGAGGGGAGGAUUAAAGAAAUGUAUAUUGUGUUUGUGUGUGUGUGCUUAUUUGUUUGAAUGAUUUUAUUUCCCAUUUUUUAAAAGUCUUAGUUUUUUGGUUAGGGCCUUAAGAUGUCUCAGACUAGGAUUUGAUGGUGUACCUAGGAGUUUUGAAUCAUUCUAAGCCAUUAACUAGGAGUCCAGUUGGUAACUUUAGGAUUAAGUCAGAAUAGUUUUUCCUAUCAUUUAUUUGUAAAAUUGUACAGAUUGAUAGACUGAGUUGGAAGGUUCUUGGUAUCUGUUAUUAACAUCCAGGGAAUUGAUAACCCUGUCAACUUGGAUGGAAAAUCCUUUGUAGUUAUUAUUGAAGUGAAUAUUAAUAUGUUUUAACCCGGAGUGGUAAUUUAAUACCUUGUUGAUUAGUUAUUUCAAACCCAACUGUUAAGAAUAGUUAACUAGAAAAAAAGUAAAUGAGAAGUGAUCUAAUUAUUCUAUAGUAGAGUGAACUGUUUACCCUUCUUGCUUUUGUGGAGUUGAAUUAUAUCAUGUUAAUUUGACCUCCAACUAGGCAAAUAUUUUAAUCAAAAAUUAGUGUUAUUAAAGAACCAUAGACAUCUAAAUCAGGGACCUGCAGCCUGUUUUUGUAAAAAGAAUAUUGCAACAUAGCUAUGCUCAUUUGUUCAUGUGUUGUGUAUGGCUGCUUUUAUGUUACAGUGGCAAAGUUGAGUGCUUAUGACAGUGAACCUCAAAGCCUAAGGUACUAACUGACCCUUUAAAGAAAACAUUUGCUGACCCCUGAUCUAAAUCAGUGAAAAGAAUUUGUGUUGGGCUUGUUAAGCUGGGAUUCUUUGUUUCAUAGAAGCACUAUACUUAUUUUAUGUGAAUAGCCCGUGUCAAAACUUUGAAAGGGGGUUAAAACUGCUGGGAUCAAAAACAGGUUUAGCAUGGCUAAUGAAAUGUUGCCAGAUUAAUUUUGACUUGUUAAAAUGUUACAAAAUUUUUAAAUGUCUACAAGCCCCAUAUUUUGACAGAUAUAAUUAGUAGGAAAUGAGACUAAAACUACUGAGAUUUGUUUGACUCCAGUAAUUCUGUUUUAAUAUUGGAGGUCAUUACUGCUCCUGACUUUAUGAAAUUUAUACUUGUACAUAGAAUCGAGGAAAAAUGACUUUUA